AAGUUGAAGUUUCGAUUUAAGAAUUUUCCGUAAUACAGUAUCAGAGAAUACCGAAGUUUUAGAAUGUUAAAAACCCUUUUAUAUUAAAAAGGGCUGUUUUUUUGUCUACGACAAAUUUUAUUACCGAGGAUUUUGCUGCCGAAAGUUUGGAUUAGAAGCAUCUAAAUUCCGUUCGGAUACCAUAAUAGGAUAUCUGAUUGAACUCUUUUCCUGUAUCAACCAUCACAAUAUACAGUGCCUCUCGAGUAACCACCUUAUAGAAAGAAGUUCCAUCAGGCCGUCCAACAGCAAGGCCAGUAUAGUCACUACCUCAGUGAACGAAUUGAUUAUUAUUUUAAAGGAAGAGUUUGGUGUACGUGUAUCUAUUGAUUAGUUCAAGUACUGGCGAAAUUAGCUAUCUAUCCAAUAUAAAUUUGUAGAGAAUAUCAUAAGUGUAAGAGUACUAACCCCUUUAUUUGAGAAUUUUGAACAACCUUUUUAGACUAUUAAAUAUUCUCAGAUUA